AAUGGCUGCAGUAAUUUGACUGUACAAAGGUAGCAUAAUCAUUAGUUUUUUAAUUAAAAGCUUGAAUGAAAGGUUGGACGAAGUAAAAUCUGUCUCUUUAUAAUAUAAUUAGAAUUUAAUUUUUAAGUUAAAAAGCUUAAAUUUUUAUAAAAGACGAGAAGACCCUAUAGAGUUUAAUAAUUUUUAAAAAAUAAUUAAUUUAGAUUAAUUAAUUUUAUUUUUUAUAAAUUAUUUUAUUGGGGUAAUAAUAAGAUUUAAGUAAUUCUUUUUUUUAAGACCAUUAAUUUAUGAAAUUUAUGAUCCAGUAUUUUAUUGAUUAUAAG
rnacentral:rRNA from 1 species